rnacentral:misc_RNA from 1 species
AUGGGAUUACGUGUCUUUAGAGAGUAAAUAUAAUUAAAGGAAGUAAAUAUAAUUAUUGUUAGGUAUUUUUGAGAGGGUAAAUAUAAUUAGGGAGAAGUAAAGAACAAUUAUGGGAUUAAUACAUUCUAAUUUAGUAAAAUUUUAUUAAAUUUAAUUUUCAAUUCUUAAUUUACCAAAAGAAACUAUCCUUUUUUUUAAAUCUUAUGGUGUAUAAGAUUAUAAAAUGACUCGAUUAAGUAUAAUUCACAUACUGCAAUCCAAAUUGCCAUACCAAUUAAGCCUACCCCUUCAUACCCUAGAUCCAGCCAAGUGGCGUACCACAUCCCUAUGCCUAUACCACAUACCAAGGGGUACAACAUUCUAGGUAACUAUAUCUUGCCUUUAUAGCCUCUAGAACCACUUGGCAAUAUCAUUCCACCAACCAGAUUUUGAAUUCAGUACAAAUAGAAAGUAUAAUACAAGGGAAAAAGCAGGGAAAUACAUUGACAAAAUCAAUACCAAAGAUGAGUGAGACAUUUCAUAUUCCACAUGGAUGCACCGUAUAAAUGAAACAAGAUCUAAAUUCAAAAAAGAUACUAAGGCAGGUAUCACCGGUGCACAUUGGACUAAUACAGUUUCUCCACACACACACACACUCCCCCAAAGAAAGAAAGAAAGAAAAAGAA